rnacentral:piRNA from 1 species
UGGGUGCUGGAGGAGUAGAGACAUCACCAA